UUAAGUUAACAAGGGCGCAUGGUGAAUGCCUUGGCACUAGGAGCCGAUGAAGGACGGGACUAACACCGAUAUGCUUCGGGGAGCUGUACGUAAGCUAUGAUCCGGAGAUUUCCGAAUGGGGCAACCCAGCAGUUUUAAUCAACUGUUACCACUAGAUGAAUUCAUAGUCUAGUUGGAGGUAAACGCUGUGAACUGAAACAUCUCAUUAGCAGCAGGAAUAUAAAGAAAUUUCGAUUCCCUAAGUAGCGGCGAGCGAACGGGGAACAGCCCAAACCAAAGUGCUUGCACUUUGGGGUUGUAGGACUGAACAUUUGAGUUACCAAAGAACUUGAUAGUCGAAGGAUUUGGGAAAAUCCGCCAUAGAUGGUGAUAGCCCAGUAGAUUAAAUCAAAUUCUCUCAGUUCAGGAUCCUGAGUACGGCGGAACACGUGAAAUUCCGUCGGAAUCCGGGAGGACCAUCUCCCAAGGCUAAAUACUACCUAGUGACCGAUAGUGAACCAGUACCGUGAGGGAAAGGUGAAAAGCACCCCGGGAGGGGAGUGAAAUAGUUCCUGAAACCAUGUGCCUACAAUAAGUCAGAGCGCGUUAAUGCGUGAUGGCGUGCCUUUUGUAGAAUGAACUGGCGAGUUAUGAUCCCGUGCAAGGUUAAGACUAAAAAGUCGGAGCCGUAGCGAAAGCGAGUCUGAAAUGGGCGUUUUGAGUACGAGGUUAUAGACCCGAAACCAGGUGACCUAUCCAUGUCCAGGUUGAAGGUGCGGUAAAACGCACUGGAGGACCGAACCCGUGUAAGUUGAAAAUUGCUGGGAUGAGGUGUGGAUAGCGGUGAAAUUCCAAACGAACUUGGAGAUAGCUGGUUCUCUCCGAAAUAGCUUUAGGGCUAGCCUCGGAAUUAGGAUCAUGGAGGUAGAGCACUAUUUGGACUAGGGGCCCGUCUUGGGUUACUGAAUUCAGAUAAACUCCGAAUGCCAUUGAUUCAUAUCCGGGAGUCAGACGAUGAGUGAUAAGAUCCACCGUCGAAAGGGGAACAGCCCAGACCAUCAGUUAAGGUCCCUAAAUGUAUGCUAAGUGGAAAAGGAUGUGGAGUUGCAUAGACAACUAGGAUGUUGGCUCAGAAGCAGCCACCAUUUAAAGAGUGCGUAAUAGCUCACUAGUCGAGUGAUUCUGCGCCGAAAAUGUACCGGGGCUAAGCAUACUACCGAAACCAUGGAUGCGACCAUUAGGUCGCGUGAUAGGAGAGCGUUCUAAGGGCGGUGAAGCAAGAUCGUGAGGACUUGUGGAGCGCUUAGAAGUGAGAAUGCCGGUAUGAGUAGCGAAAGAUAGGUGAGAAUCCUAUCCACCGAAUGACUAAGGUUUCCUGGGGAAGGCUCGUCCUCCCAGGGUUAGUCGGGACCUAAGUCGAGGCCGAGAGGCGUAGACGAUGGAUAACAGGUUGAGAUUCCUGUACUAGUUAAGUGCGUUUGAGCAAUGGAGGGACGCAGGAGGCUAAGAUGUGCAUUCUGUUGGAUUAGAAUGUCCAAGCAGUAAGUCUUGUGAAGAGUCAAAUGCUUUUCACUUUAAGGACAAGCUGUGAUGGGGAGCGAAAUUUAGUAGCGAAGCGUCUGAUGUCACACUGCCGAGAAAAGCUUCUAGUGAGUACUUAACUACCCGUACCGCAAACCGACACAGGUAGUCGAGGAGAGAAUCCUAAGGUGAGCGAGUGAACUCUCGUUAAGGAACUCGGCAAAAUGACCCCGUAACUUCGGGAGAAGGGGUGCUGAUCGCAAGAUCAGCCGCAGUGAAUAGGCCCAGGCGACUGUUUAUCAAAAACACAGGUCUCUGCAAAAUCGUAAGAUGACGUAUAGGGGCUGACGCCUGCCCGGUGCUGGAAGGUUAAAAGGAUGGGUUAGCUUCGGCGAAGCUCAGAAUUGAAGCCCCAGUAAACGGCGGCCGUAACUAUAACGGUCCUAAGGUAGCGAAAUUCCUUGUCGGGUAAGUUCCGACCCGCACGAAAGGCGUAACGAUCUGGGCACUGUCUCAACGAGAGACUCGGUGAAAUUAUAUUGUCCGUGAAGAUGCGGACUACCCGCGACAGGACGGAAAGACCCCAUGGAGCUUUACUGUAGCUUGAUAUUGAGUGUUUGUACAGCUUGUACAGGAUAGGUAGGAGCCAUAGAAACCGGAACGCUAGUUUCGGUGGAGGCGUUGGUGGGAUACUACCCUCGCUGUAUGACCACUCUAACCCGCACCACUAAUCGUGGUGGGAGACAGUGUCAGGUGGGCAGUUUGACUGGGGCGGUCGCCUCCUAAAAAGUAACGGAGGCGCCCAAAGGUUCCCUCAGAAUGGUUGGAAAUCAUUCGCAGAGUGUAAAGGCACAAGGGAGCUUGACUGCGAGACAGACAGGUCGAGCAGGGACGAAAGUCGGGCUUAGUGAUCCGGUGGUACCGUAUGGAAGGGCCAUCGCUCAACGGAUAAAAGCUACCCUGGGGAUAACAGGCUUAUCUCCCCCAAGAGUCCACAUCGACGGGGAGGUUUGGCACCUCGAUGUCGGCUCAUCGCAUCCUGGGGCUGUAGUCGGUCCCAAGGGUUGGGCUGUUCGCCCAUUAAAGCGGUACGCGAGCUGGGUUCAGAACGUCGUGAGACAGUUCGGUCCCUAUCCGUCGCGGGCGUAGGAAAUUUGAGAGGACCUGUCCUUAGUACGAGAGGACCGGGAUGGACAUACCUCUGGUGUACCAGUUGUGCCGCCAGGCGCAUCGCUGGGUAGCUACGUAUGGAUGUGAUAAACGCUGAAAGCAUCUAAGUGUGAAACACACCUCGAGAUGAGAUUUCCCAUUCCUUUAUGGAAGUAAGACCCCUGAAAGAUGAUCAGGUAGAUAGGUUAGAAGUGGCAGUGCGGUGACGCAUGAAGCGGACUAAUACUAAUCGGUCGAGGACUUAACCAA
rnacentral:rRNA from 1 species